GCUGAUGGGGAGUCAGAAAGUCAGUCAAUAAAAGGAAUCUGACUCUUCAUUUGCAAUGAGGGGUGGCGGGCGAGGGCGUAGCAAGCCUGGACUCCUAGAGGGCCCGUGUCCCCGGGUCCCCCCCUCGCACCAGGCCCACUCGCGUGGGGAGGCAAGGCUGGGAGAGGAGCCGGCACCAGAGCGCAUCCUGAAGCCCACACCAAAGCCUGCGGGUGGCCGAAACAGCCAAUGGCCCUGAGGUUGGAGAACGAUUGUGGGCCUGCGGGACCGGCUGGCGUCUUGUGCCUCCUCUGGCCCAACAUCAGCUGCUCUAUCCCGCCCCCUUGUUCCGUCCCCUUCCCAGACACACGAAAGAUCUCGAUGGAUGGAUGUAUCUGGGUUUGAAUGGAGAUGCGGAGUGUGCUUCCCGCCCGAGGGCCUCGGGCUUCAAGCAGAAGGUGUGGCUUUCCACCUCAAGAUCCAGAUCAAAGGGUGUCUCACUAAACCGGAGCUCCCUGAUUCUUCUAGACUGACUGGCUGUCAAGCUCCACAGGUCCUCCUGUUGCUGCUUCUCCAGCACUGGGAUGACAGGGACUGACCACCGUAGCCAGCUUCUUGUGUGCCUGUUGGAGAUCUGAACUCAGGUCCUCAUGCUUGGGCUACAAGCACUUUGUAGACUGAGCCAUCUCCCCACCCCCUGGUUUGUUUUGUUGAGACCAGGUAUCUCUCUAUGGAAUCAAGACCGGCCUCAAACAAGCAAGCCUCCUGCCUCAGCCUGUCCAGAGGCUUUUCUUUCUAAAACCCUGGACCACAUUCAGCUCUGAGCGUUUCUUUGACUUCAGUUCUUGACACCGGGUCUGCCAGGAGCCAUUUUUUCCCCCCUGCUCACUCCACGCUCAUGCACAAGCAUGCUUCUCCGAGAAAGUGGGUUCCACCUAGGAAUGAAAUGAGUCAUGUGCUCCCUUCAGGACCACCGCCACAGCAUGGUGUCAACUCUCACUCACCUUCUGAAAAUUGAGUUUGUCAGUACUCAGCCACACAGCUGAGUGAAGUGUUGUGUGAUGCAGGGGCGUCUCCUGGGAGAGAGAAACUGGCAUAAACCACAUCCUAAUGGGAUCCAGAAACAAAGAAUCGUGAAUGAAGUGUUAAUUGCAUUUAUAAAGACAUUAACAAAGGAAUUAAAACGGCAGAAUCUUCCAUCCCCCACUCAGAAUUCACAGGAAAGAACAGUGCCCAAAAGAGAAUUUUAACAAUAACCAUCAGGGUUGACUGCUUGUCCACUGCAGAGAGAACGCUCGAUAAACACUAACUUCUCAAAGAACACCUUGGGUCCAUUAUCUCGAGUACAUUAAGGAGCAGACAUUUUAACCCAUCUCACCUCUACUUCUCUCCUUGUUUUCAUAUGAUUUAAGUUUCCAGGGAAUCAAGAGGCCUUGCCACAUUGCUUUGCUACCUCUGGGGAUGAUGGUGAACAGUUUGACUCUAACUAACCCUGACGUUCUUGUUGGUAUGGAGUGCUUGUUGUCUGGGAGACUUUGUUUGAAGUAAAAUGACAAGAUUGGGACUUUCCAUAACUCUUGAAUAUUGGAUCUUCUAGAGAUAAUCUGCAGUGAGGCUGACCCGGGGCCCCCUGCCCUUCCCUUUGGCUGAGCCUUCAGAUGCUGACCCCAGGACUA